rnacentral:rRNA from 1 species
UGGGGAAUAUUGCACAAUGGGCGCAAGCCUGAUGCAGCAACGCCGCGUGAGGGAUGACGGCCUUCGGGUUGUAAACCUCUUUUAGCAGGGAAGAAGCGAAAGUGACGGUACCUGCAGAAAAAGCACCGGCUAACUACGUGCCAGCAGCCGCGGUAAUACGUAGGGUGCAAGCGUUGUCCGGAAUUAUUGGGCGUAAAGAGCUCGUAGGCGGCCUGUCGCGUCUGCUGUGAAAUCCCGAGGCUCAACCUCGGGCCUGCAGUGGGGUACGGGCAGACUAGAGUGCGGUAGGGGAGAAUGGAACUCCUGGUGUAGCGGUGGAAUGCGCAGAUAUCAGGAAGAACACCGAUGGCGAAGGCAGUUCUCUGGGCCGUAACUGACGCUGAGGAGCGAAAGCGUGGGGAGCGAACAGGAUUAGAUACCCUGGUAGUCCACGCCGUAAACGUUGGGCGCUAGAUGUGGGGACCAUUCCACGGUUUCCGUGUCGCAGCUAACGCAUUAAGCGCCCGCCUGGGGAGUACGGCCGCAAGGCUAAAA